rnacentral:rRNA from 1 species
UGGAUCCAGACUUUGAUCAUGGCUCAGGACGAACGCUGGCGGCGUGCCUAACACAUGCAAGUCGAACGAAGCUCUGCGAUACAAGACUUCGGUCAAGUUGAACGGAUGACUUAGUGGCGGACGGGUGAGUAACGCGUGAGGAACCUGCCUUUCAGUGGGGGACAACAGUUGGAAACGACUGCUAAUACCGCAUAAUGUAUUCUGACCGCAUGAUCGGAAUACCAAAGAUUUAUUGCUGAAAGAUGGCCUCGCGUCUGAUUAGAUAGUUGGUGAGGUAACGGCCCACCAAGUCGACGAUCAGUAGCCGGACUGAGAGGUUGAACGGCCACAUUGGGACUGAGAUACGGCCCAGACUCCUACGGGAGGCAGCAGUGGGGAAUAUUGGGCAAUGGGGGAAACCCUGACCCAGCAACGCCGCGUGAAGGAAGAAGGCUUUCGGGUUGUAAACUUCUUUUACCAGGGACGAAGGACGUGACGGUACCUGGAGAAAAAGCCACGGCUAACUACGUGCCAGCAGCCGCGGUAAUACGUAGGUGGCAAGCGUUGUCCGGAUUUACUGGGUGUAAAGGGCGUGUAGGCGGAGAAGCAAGUCAGAAGUGAAAUCCAUGGGCUUAACCCAUGAACUGCUUUUGAAACUGUUUCCCUUGAGUAUCGGAGAGGCAGGCGGAAUUCCUAGUGUAGCGGUGAAAUGCGUAGAUAUUAGGAGGAACACCAGUGGCGAAGGCGGCCUGCUGGACGACAACUGACGCUGAGGCGCGAAAGCGUGGGGAGCGAACAGGAUUAGAUACCCUGGUAGUCCACGCUGUAAACGAUGAAUACUAGGUGUGGGAGGACUGACCCCUUCCGUGCCGCGGUUAACACAAUAAGUAUUCCACCUGGGGAGUACGAUCGCAAGAUUGCAACUCAAAGGAAUUGACGGA